AGGGGUCUUCCAACAACUCUUAGUGCCCUUAGCAAACUACAGUUCCCAGAAUUAUUUGGGGAUUUUUAAAAGUUGUAUAAUACUGUAUUGAUUUAAAUAUAUAGGCCUUAAUUUUAUAUUUAUAUGUUAUGGAAUUGUAGUGACCCAAAUGGCUUUACACAUGCAGAGUGCGAUAGAAAUGUUUAAAUAAAUAAAACCCUCAGUGGGUAUUUCAGAAGCCAUUUUGUGUCAAAUGAAUGGUUCCUUAACCCCUGCUGAAAUGCCUUGGGAAACCCCACAUAGGUUUCACUCCCCUUCUUGAUGAUGACUCACAGGGGGAGAAACCAACUCUGCUACAUGAAGGGGGACAAAACUUUGAGCCUCCAGCUAUGGAAAGCACUACAUCCAGUAUGCCAUCUUGAAGAAUAUGUGAAGUGCAUGCCGGUUUUAUGGUGCCAAGGUAGAGUAGGGGCAAACAAAAAUAGUAAUGCUUGGGUUUCAAAGGAAAAAAAUAAACUGAACACUCUCACCCCUCCCCAAUGUUUGCCAUGAGUUGGUUUGGCCCACUGCUUCACGAUCUCCAGCCCUCGUGUUUGGGGACUCAGAUUGAAAAGGGCUUUGCAAGGGGGUGGUGGGUUGGGUAAGUCCUGGAGGUUUGCAGACUGGCUGGCGUGUACGUGUUGCCGUAGGCCAAGAGCUAGUGCCAUUUCUUUUAUUUCAGUCAUAUCAACCAGACUUCUCUUAGCUUAGAUAGCCAUUAUGGCUUGGGGAGAGGAGCUUAAGGUUGCUUUCCUUUCAUUUUCCUUCCACUGGAAGCCUGUGUUCUUCCUUGCUCUGUCUGCACUCUUUAAAAGCAAUUAUAUUUCAAAAGGGUUGCACCAGUGUAAUUUCAGCCUAAUUUAUGCCAUCAAGGAAAUAUUUGUAGGAAAUGCAGCAUUCUUGACACUUUUUUCAAUACUCACCACCCCAAAAGUUGUAAUUUGCUUCAUUAUAUUCAUUAAAACAACAGGGCUUUUCUUCAGCGAAGAUAAUAAUUAGAAUGGGAGUAUUAAUUUGAGAUUGUUUUUCCUCAGCAAUUGACUGAGGCACAUAGCUCAUCCACACAGAAGUGUGCUUUGUCCCUUUUGUGCCGUGAUUAAAAUAAAUAAAACUUGUUGCUGCCGCUUAAAAGUUCAUGUUCUCAACCCAGAGGAGGGGGAGCCAUGACAAUACUUCCAAAUGUGUACAAACUUCCCAUUGGAUAUUUUUGUAUUUGUUUAUUUUAUUUGAACAAUUUAUAUAUUGCUUAAAAUUAAACAGGACUCUGAAGUGAAACUAAACAAAAACAAGUGAAAAUUAAAAACUUUUAAAAUGGUUAGGCUUCAGCAAUCCCUCAAGAGAGAUUCCCUCCUUUUCUUCCAUAUAUGGUAAUUCCACAGCAUACUCCCACAUAAUGGAGAAACCAGGGGCUUCAGUUAGAUCACCAUUUUGUUUUGUUUAGGAAUCAUGCAGAUUAAAGUUACCUGUUUCUUUUAUGUUCAACUCUUUCUCCAGGGAGCAUAAGGCAUCACAGAUGGUUCUCUACCACCCAGUUUAUCCUCGCAGCAGCCCUGUGAGGCACAUUGUGGAAAAGGGCUGUGGCUCCUUGGUAGAUCAUCCACUUUGCAUGCAGAAGGUCCCAAGUUCAAUGCCUGGCAUCUCUCCAAGUGGGGCCUUCCCUUUCCAAAACUGGAGACCCACUGCCUGUCACUAUUGAGCUUCUUCCUAUAUUGAGCUCACCUUCCUAUAUUUCCUAGGUUAGGCUGAGAGCUAGUGACGAUCAAAAAUAACCCUAAAGGCUGAGCAGAUUCAUUGUUCUUAGCACAACUGGAGAAAUAAAUGAAAACUUUUUUAAGGCCGAGCAGGGAUUUUAAUAGUCUCCAUCCGUAGCUCAUCAAUCUAUCCACUAAUGCACUAGUUCUCAGCUAUACUCUCUCCUGAGCAGAAGCUGUUAACAGAUAUCUUAAUGAGCACCUAUGGCAACAAUGCUGUGUUAACUGGUAACCCCAAAGUAAUGCUUCUCAACUUUUCUAUCUCACCAAAAGAGAGGUUUUCUCGCUGGUCCUCUGACAUAGUGCAGUGAACACAAAAGCUGCAUGCACAAUCUCUAAUCCUCCCAUGGCUGUUCUGUGACUGUAAUCAUAAAGACUUGGCUUGAACGUUUCAUUCACCUUAGGCAUUAGGAACAGUGAUCUUACUGAUGGUCAGGACUCCUCUGUGUAAGAAAAAAUAAAGGAAAUAAGGGGGGAGACCACAGUCACCAUGAAAACUCUUUUAUUAAAAAUAUGCUUCUUGAUGGGUAAUAAAACAAACUAAGGGCAAUAAUCCUUUAGGCAGUGAGCAAUGAACCCACUGACAGCCAAUCAUUGCUGGUCCCCCAUCAACGGUAACAGAUGAUAAUUGGUGAAGAGGCAGGCAUGCUUGUAGCAUAGUUCUCAACACUGAAUGCAACACUCAUGUCUGACAACAGAAUAAAUUUAUAUUUUAUGGAAUUGUGGUGUCCCAAAUGGCUUUAUGCAUGUAGGGUGCGAUAGAAAUGUUUAAAUAAAUAAAUAAAACCCUCAGUGGGUAUUUCAGAAGCCAUUUUGUGCCGCAUGGUUCCAGCAACAAUGCUUAACCCCUGCUCGAAUGCCUUGGGAAACCCCACACAAGUUUCUCUCGAUGAUUUACCAGAGGCUUCUUGUAGCAUAGUUCUCAACACUGUAUGCAACACUUAAUGUCUCAUCACAAAUGAAACUGAUCUGUAGAAAACACAACUUAAAAAAAAAAGACAAUGCGCGUAUUUUUGUGAACUAAGAAAUCUUUAAUAAAAAUAUUUUUUUUUAAAAAAAGAAAAAAGCCAGAAAUAUAUCCUCAUCUCUCGUUCUACCUUUCAGUAGUAGUAGUUUCAGCAGCCCUUCUUGGGAGAUUUAAGGAUGAGUUAAUCAGUCAAAAGCUGAUUGCUAACAGCACUUCUUGCAAUUUGGGGACUUUUUAUGGGGGCUUUAGUGCUUCUGACGGUGGGUUGGUCAACGACAUAUAGACAGAGAAGGUAUGUGUCAUAUCUGCUGAGGCUGACAUAUGUCCUGUUACAACACUAAAGGAAUAUAUCAGGUUCAGGGGUAGCAUACAAAUGAACCUGUUCUAUCGUCAUGAUAGUCAGCCCCUGAUCCUGACCAAGCUUCAGUUUUUCGUAGGGCUCCCAGGUUCCAGCUGAUAGAUCAUGAUUUUCUUCCCCUCUUUCCAUUAGAUCGGGUUUGGUAUUAGGCAUUUAAAACAUGCCACAGAGUGCGUGCAGAGUAGACCACACAGAUGGAAACACUGAAAAGACGCAAAAAUAACAUUGCAUGGUUUAAUAACAAAACGCUUAACAUACAUCUUACAUAGUGUCUAUAAUCAUCGCCCAUCCAUCCACCAUGGCGGAGUAAGGUACAUACUGCACAUUAUAUAUAUAUAUCAUUCACAAUUGCUGACACAGCUAAUUACAGUGACUUAUCAGCACCUGCUACACAGCUGUAAAAACUAGGUCAGGAUAUGCACCCUGGCUUUUAAAGUGGUACACACCUUGUGAAACAACGAUGAACCCUAACAUUUAAACAAACUAUUCAACAGCUUCCUGGGGGAACUUGCACUCCAGUGCAGUCAGCAGUUUUGCCACUUGUUUCUUGUUCUAAUCUGGCAGCUUGGUUGUUCCUCUUAUGAUGACCAGCCCAAAGGAAAACCCCCAUCAAUAAUGGAACUUGAUGCGUUGACUUUUUGGUGCUACUAUAGAUUACCCGUAAUGAGGCAAAAGGGGCUACUUCAGCUGAAAACAACAUAAAAUUAAAAGCCCACUGGGUUUCUUUGUUCCCUUCAAAAAUUACAUCAUGAAUAAGAACUGGGUAUUGAAAACUACCAUCUGGGAAAGGAAGAGGGUUCCUUAGCCCUGCAUCAAAUGCAUCUGUUUGCACAACAAACUUUUUAGUAAAAUUAGGCCCCUUCAGUGCUGGAUUAUAAUGGGUUCAUUAAGUGCUGAGUAGAGAUAUCAGAAAAUACUGAUGGAAAUAAAAGAACGGAAAGCGCCAAUUUUCAUUUAUUUGUCCCUUGGCCACAACAAAAAUCAAUUCAGUGAAUACUAUUUGUAUUUGCCACUGUUACUGUUUGCAGACUGAAAGCAACAUGUAAAUAAUUAUUUUUGCAUUGAGUUUCCUUUAUACUGAAAUAUAUGAGGUAGAAUAACAUGCCAAUUAUGCUUACAUAAUUUGGUAUUUAGUUAUGUACGUUAUGUAAUUUUACCACAGUGGAUUGUGGGGUGGAUUAUGGAUUGUUUUUUGGGAAAGACAAAACUGCAGAGCAAUGGAAACAUGGCUGUGGCUGAAGAAUUCAUAGUGGAAAAUAAAACACUCCCGUCUUAAAACCCUAAUGCUGAGCUGAAGCACCCAGCCCAAAGAUUUCCGUGGGUUCCCCCCCAAUAAAUACUUAAGUUCAGAAACAGUACAAUAAACCAAAGGAACACAGAAACCAACAUAUAUUCUACAUAAACAAAGCAAACAAAACUAAGAUGAGAAGCCUGUCCAUAAUUUGAAUAUCCACAGAAGGAAUGCUGGUGACAAAGGGAGGGCAUAAGUCUUAUAAAGAUACACACAUCAGUACACAACAGAAAAGAGGUAUGUGUGACUGUGAAGCAGAGUUAGGAAUCACACAUCCUAAUUUACAAUACAAUGAGCUAAAGGUAGUCUGGGUUCUCCAGGGUUGGAGUUGAUAUAGGAAAGAAAAAGGAACAGGUUUUCACAGAACCUGUCAAGUUUCAUGCCCCAAAGACUCUGGGGGCAUGCCUACUCAGUUGAUUGCAGAGUACCAGCUCCAAAGGGAUGUAUUAAUUUCAUUAGUAAUAGUUUACUAAGGUAAAAAUAAGCUUAACAGUUCAAUACCAGAUCCCUGGAAUAGUAAUCUCUUAAUAAUCCACUUGCAGCAAAAAUACAUAACAGUAGAAUAAAACUUACACUAAGUAAAAAUCAGUCCAUAAUGAGAGAGGAAAAGAACAGGGAGAGAGGAAAAGAAUGAACCCCCAUCAAACUGCAGUUGUAGACAGUCCUGGGGCAGUUUGGCCUUGAGGGAGGGAUAACUCACUAAGCUCAUCCCAGCUGCAUUUCUGUUCCCUUGAGAACCCUCCAAACUAGAAUACUUCCGUUGGCUUCUGUAAGCUCUAUGGCUUCUGUACCUCAGAAACUCCAUUAUACCUGACAGAACCUGCCCUUUGUUUCCCCUGUGGCCAAUUUAGAUUGCCAAGUAAGUUUGUCUGAUAAAGCUUCUUGCCAUAGGUAGGUUUUGAGAGAGGGCAAAAGCACCCUCUCUGGAAAAAAAAGCAAGGGAGCAUUUCUCAUGCUGUGUUCUAUAGCAUUGUCAUUGUGUGCCCUGUGGCAUGGGACCCAGUGCCGUCACACUACCCUAAAACUGCUUCUGCUCUCUGAACCACCUGGGCAAGUUCCUGAGGCAGAAGGCCCAUGUCAGACAGAAUGUCAGAAUAUGCCGUAUUGCUCCCAGACAUACAUACUUGAGAGAAAAUAUGUCUGCCCCCAUUGUGGUCAAAGGAGGAAAGAAAAUUGCACAGGACAAUUCUUAGCAUUUGCACCCCUCCCUCAAAACAAACCUGUUCAGGUGGCACUUGCACCUCCAGAAACCUAUCAAAAUGGCAGGAUUCCUGAGAAAACUCUUACCUAUCCCUCUAGCAUUGGCAAGUACAAAAAAGGGGCAGGGGGAGUUGCUGCUGUUGUACAAUUUGGACUAUUGGAGUUUGAUAGCUGGAAGUUAUGGUACAAGGGUGUACAUUUCUUUUCAUAUGCUGUUUUUAUUUAUUGCAUUUGUUCAUUGCUUCAUACCAAACAACAACCUCAAAGCAACUUAAUAAAGAAUUGUUAUAGGCAGGAUAAACUUAGAAAUUAAUAAAUGCUAGGAUUUUGGUUAUUUGUGGUAUGAAGGGAGAAUGCAAGCUGCAAAGGAAUUCCUGUGCUGGCUUAUGCAGACCAGCCCGGCUGGCUGGGGGAAGAACAGACAAGGUGUUUGAAGGGCCAUAGAAGGAUCCUUUGACCUGGGGAGUCAGAUGUCACAAAGGUUGCUGGGGUAACUGUGUUUUGGGGACAGGAAAGGGGAGCUCAGACACAGGGGCUUCUGGGCAGAAGGAAGAAAGAAAGGGGAAAAGGAAAGGUCAGCAAUGCUUUGGGCCAUGCUUUAAGAUCUGGACUCCCCCCAUGCGGACUGAAGGUGUAAAUAGGUGAAUAAACCAUAUUUUUCAACGGCUAUAAAUAUUCUCUCCUGGGCAGAUUUUCCACAGUUUAUGAUGUUAUCCGAUCCCAGGAACAACAAAACCUUCCACUCCUGGUCUGCACCCUAUUCUGGCAUUUUGAGUUUUGUAACACUGGUGGAAUUUUGCCUGUAUUGUACCAUCAGCCUGAGAUGCCCAACUCCAUGGCCUACCUAGCAGCAAGUCCCACUGGCAGUAUGCCAAGUCCAAAAUUAAACAAUUCAUUGGGUUGAUCCAUGUAAGCAAAGUCCCCAAAGUCAGGAAACACAGUCCAGGAUCAAUCUCAAAACACAGUCCCGUAGCAGUCGUAGAGCAUCCGAGACCAAGGACCACCAACAAGGGCAGUUGAGUAGACCCAGCACCUUAGCUCUGCUUCCCUUUUAUACCUUGCAUGUUGAUUGCAGCAUCUGGGCUUCACGAGGCAGGUGACCAUCAUCUGUUCUGAGCCUACUGCAGCUGAGGAAUCACAGGGAGAGGGAGUGGGUCAGGAAAAGGUCUACAGGAGAGGAAGCCGGAGGGUGGGGUUAGCCUCAAAAGCGGACAUGUCCAUGAGGCUCUGGAGAACAAUCCCUCCCUCCAGUUGCAUCAGGCGCCCUUGCAGGCCCUCACCUCUGCCACCGCUGCCCAGCCCUGCCGGCUGUCAAAUUGCUGCUGCCUGAACCAGGGCUUUGUCCUGAAAGGGGGGAAAAAGGAACCAUGACCACAAAUUGUCCCUUCUCACUUCCAAAGGUGAAAAUGUUAAAUUCCUGUAGUUCCUUGGAAGAAACCUUGCCAUUUCAAUUGAUUUCUAAAGACGAUGUCCUGAAACACCCAGACCCAGGAGAUUCUUUUUCUGCCCAUUUUUCUGAAUGAAAUCAAGGAAUGUGGUGGCUAUGUCUUGGCUUGGCAAGUUCAGCCGCUCAUAGCAGCUGCUGAGGACCCUAGGGUCUAUGCUGGGCACUGCACCCUGGAAAAUCUGACACGGCAGCCACCUACACACUCUGGUCAGUGACCGAAAUCAGUUGACUCAGCCACCUGCUGCCGUACAGAGCUGAGCAGUAGCCCAUUGUAACGGCCACUACAUAAUACAUAUGGAGGUAGUUUGGGGUUGGAUGAGUGAGCAGAUGCAGGAGCAAACUGGCACACUGGGAACUCCAGUGGCAGCGGAGACAGUAGCAGUACCAGGCAAGGCCCCAGAUUGGCAGUUGGUGGGGCAAUGCAGGUGGGGCGUCGUUGCUCACCUGCCUUCCAGAUAAUUGGGUGUUGCUGCCAGUUGCUGAGAGGGUGAGGCGUGGGGAGCAUGGCACAGUGCAGGCAAAGCAGAGGAGCCCCACUUGUGCUGCCCCAUCAGUGGCCCCAUGCUGAGAGCUCACUAAAGGUCUUGGGAGACCCUCUUUCUUCUGUUACUGGGAGGGCAUUUUCCUCUGGGAAAGACACAGGAGAAAGACUCCACAGCCCACAUUCGGCAGAUACGGAACAUGGAGCUCUUUGCUCAUUUGUCCGCAUUCUGCCUUUAGCGCCUGUUCAUCUUGUGGAAACAUUCAUAUAAUUUAGCAGAGUUUAAACGAUCCCCUGUUUGAGAUUAUGCAGCGACAAGCGGGUUGCUAACUCAUUUGAGUCCUAUCAAUAAUUAUACCUUCCUGGUGAUAAUCCCUUUCUGUCCCUCUUAAAGAAAACAAACAUGAAUCUGAAUCAUAUUAACAUAAACUACUUUACUAUCAGAUUCAUUUGGGUUUACAGAGUUGUUCCUGAAGGCAGGCUUACGUUACAUGAUAGAUAAACUAUAUACUAGAUAGUAGUGAGUCAUGAGAAGACUGCAUCCAAGCAGUUACCAGUUAACACUCCUUUCAGCAACCGACUGUGGCGAUCACACAGGGUCCCCGGACGUUUCACCAUCUAUUGAUCCCUGUGCCACCACUUUAUUUCUCGCUGCCACAACCCAGGCCCUACCUGGUACAAUACUGAGUCCAGUCAGAGUUAAAUUGGAACAUAAACGUUUGUUUAUUGCAGUUUAACAAGCGUGUGGUUUCAUAAACGGUAUCAGUCAAUUACAAUCAUGGGGUGCCUAUCCAGACCUAUAACUUCCGCUACCUGCUCUCACUCACUAAACCAGUUCUCAGAUAUUUGUCUUCCUAGCCCCCAACUAUUCCUGACUCAGCUUAUUUUGCUACACUAACUCAACCUACCCACAAACUAUCCCAAUUCACUCCCACGCCACCCAACGAACUCUACUCUUUUUUUCCUCCAAAAUUUUAUUGAUUUUCC
rnacentral:lncRNA from 1 species